CUAUAACUUUCCCUCCUAUCACCGGCAAACCACCCACCACUACCCCUCCGGUCGGCAAACGGCCUAUAAUUACUAUCCCUCCGGUCAUCUCUCCUAUAACUAUGCCUCCAAUCAUCGGGGGACCGCCUAUGACUCUACCUCCAAUCAUCGGAGGACCGCCUAUAAGUCUGCCUCCGAUCAUCGGGGGACCGCCUAUGACUCUACCUCCAAUCAUCGGAGGACCGCCUAUAAGUCUGCCUCCGAUCAUCGGGGGACCGCCUAUGACUCUACCUCCAAUCAUCGGAGGACCGCCUAUGACUCUACCGCCUAUAAGUCUACCACCCAUAAAUCUCCCUCCGAUCACCGGCACGCCACCGGUGACCGGAAACCGAGGCUGCCCGACACCCUGUUCAGCAACGACCUGCCCGAUCGACGCGUUGAAGCUCGGUGCCUGUGUAGACCUCCUUGGCUCAACAGUGCACAUUGGUGACCCUGAAGUGGAGUGCUGCCCAGACAUUUUGGGCCUCGCCGGAGUUCAGGCCGCAGCAUGUCUGUGCACCACAAUAAAAGCUAAGCUGCUCGACAUCAACGUCGUCCUUCCUAUCGCACUCAAACUCCUCGUCACCUGCGGAAACGCCGCCCCUCCUGGUUACACGUGCCCUGCAUAAACGU
rnacentral:lncRNA from 1 species